UGCGUAGGCGGUUUGUUAAGUCACUUGUAAAAGAUCUCAGCUCAACUGAGUAAAGCGAGUGAAACUGGCAGACUUGAAUACGGUAGAGGUAAGUGGAAUUCCAUGUGUAGCGGUGGAAUGCGUAGAUAUAUGGAGGAACACCAAUGGCGAAGGCAACUUACUGGGCCGGAAUUGACGCUGAGGCACGAAAGCGUGGGGAGCAAACAGGAUUAGAUACCCUGGUAGUCC
rnacentral:rRNA from 1 species